rnacentral:rRNA from 1 species
GUACACUCCUACGGGAGGCAGCAGUGGGGAAUUUUGGACAAUGGGCGAAAGCCUGAUCCAGCAAUGCCGCGUGGGUGAAGAAGGCCUUCGGGUUGUAAAGCUCUUUUGUCAGGGAAGAAACGGUGAAAGCUAAUAUCUUUUGCUAAUGACGGUACCUGAAGAAUAAGCACCGGCUAACUACGUGCCAGCAGCCGCGGUAAUACGUAGGGUGCAAGCGUUAAUCGGAAUUACUGGGCGUAAAGCGUGCGCAGGCGGUUUUGUAAGUCUGAUGUGAAAUCCCCGGGCUCAACCUGGGAGUUGCAUUGGAGACUGCAAGGCUAGAAUCUGGCAGAGGGGGGUAGAAUUCCACGUGUAGCAGUGAAAUGCGUAGAUAUGUGGAGGAACACCGAUGGCGAAGGCAGCCCCCUGGGUCAAGAUUGACGCUCAUGCACGAAAGCGUGGGGAGCAAACAGGAUUAGAAACCCCUGUAGUCCCAUGA